UACGUAGGGACCAAGCGUUGUUCGGAUUUACUGGGCGUAAAGGGCGCGUAGGCGGCAUGUUAAGUCACUUGUGAAAUCUCUAAGCUUAACUUAGAACGGUCAAGUGAUACUGAUGUGCUAGAGUGCAGAAGGGGCAACCGGAAUUCUUGGUGUAGCGGUGAAAUGCGUAGAUAUCAAGAGGAACACCUGAGGUGAAGACGGGUUGCUGGGCUGACACUGACGCUGAGGCGCGAAAGCUAGGGUAGCAAACGGG
rnacentral:rRNA from 1 species